rnacentral:rRNA from 1 species
GUACGGGAGGCAGCAGUAGGGAAUAUUGCACAAUGGGGGAAACCCUGAUGCAGCAACGCCGCGUGAGUGAUGAAGGCCUUCGGGUUGUAAAGCUCUGUCGCAGGGGAAUAAAAAAAUGAAUGUACUCUGUAAGAAAGGGACGGCUAACUUCGUGCCAGCAGCCGCGGUAAGACGAGGGUCCCUAGCGUUGUUCGGAAUCAUUGGGCGUAAAGCGUGUGUAGGCGGCUUGGAAAGUCAGAUGUGAAAGCCCCGGGCUUAACCUGGGAAGUGCAUUUGAUACUACUAAGCUAGAGUAUCGGAGAGGAUAGUGGAAUUCCUGGUGUAGUGGUGAAAUACGUAGAUAUCAGGAGGAACACCGGAGGCGAAGGCGGCUAUCUGGCCGAAUACUGACGUUGAGACACGAAAGCGUGGGGAGCAAACAGGAUUAGAUACCCCGGU